rnacentral:rRNA from 1 species
CAGUAGCCGCGGUAAAACGAAGGGUGCAAGCGUUACUCGGAAUUACUGGGCGUAAAGCGUGCGCAGGUGGUGGUUUAAGUCCGUUGUGAAAGCCCUGGGCUCAACCUGGGAAUUGCAGUGGAUACUGGGUCACUAGAGUGUGGUAGAGGAUAGUGGAAUUUCCGGUGUAGCAGUGAAAUGCGUAGAGAUCGGAAGGAACAUCUGUGGCGAAGGCGACUAUCUGGGCCAACACUGACACUGAGGCACGAAAGCGUGGGGAGCAAACAGGAUUAGAUACCCCAGUAGUCCCUGUCUCUUAUAU